UACGGAGGGAGCAAGCGUUACUCGGAAUUAUUUGGGCGUAAAGGGCGCGUAGGCGAUUUGAAAAGUCUUGUGUGAAAGCCCCGAGCUUAACUCGGGAAGUGCACAAGAAACUGUUGAAUUUGAGUUCCGGAGAGGAAGGCAGAAUUCCCGGUGUAGCGGUGAAAUGCGUAGAUAUCGGGAGGAAUACCAGUGGCGAAGGCGGCCUUCUGGACGGAUACUGACGCUGAGGCGCGAAAGCCAGGGGAGCAAACGGG
rnacentral:rRNA from 1 species